AGUACCUGACGAGUCACAAAUAGGACGAAACGUGCGUCCUGGAU
rnacentral:hammerhead_ribozyme from 1 species